CCUACGGGUGGCAGCAGUGGGGAAUAUUGGACAAUGGGGGCAACCCUGAUCCAGCCAUGCCGCGUGUGUGAAGAAGGCCCUCGGGUUGUAAAGCACUUUCAGUGAGGAAGAACGCCUGGUGGUUAAUACCCAUCAGGAAAGACAUCACUCACAGAAGAAGCACCGGCUAACUCCGUGCCAGCAGCCGCGGUAAUACGGAGGGUGCGAGCGUUAAUCGGAAUUACUGGGCGUAAAGCGCGCGUAGGUGGCUUGAUAAGCCGGUUGUGAAAGCCCCGGGCUCAACCUGGGAACGGCAUCCGGAACUGUCAAGCUAGAGUGCAGGAGAGGAAGGUAGAAUUCCCGGUGUAGCGGUGAAAUGCGUAGAAAUCGGGAGGAAUACCAGUGGCGAAGGCGGCCUUCUGGACUGACACUGACACUGAGGUGCGAAAGCGUGGGUAGCAAACAGGAUUAGAUACCCUGGUAGUC
rnacentral:rRNA from 1 species